GGAGGUCUAGCUCAGUGGUUAGAGCACGUGCUUAGCACGCAUGAGGUCGCGGGUUCAAUCCCCAGUACCUCCA
rnacentral:tRNA from 1 species